ACAUCGUAUCCAAGUCGGGUGAACUUAGCAUCCUCGAAGCGUGUGGUUGAUUGGUGUUUUGUUGUGGAGCGAAGGAUAUUUGUUGUUCAUUAUUUUUUUUAAAAAAUUGGUGACGUAGUGACACGCUCUGUAGAAUGAUACGGAUUCGAGGACCAGAGGAAUUAACUGCAGAAGAAAAGAAGAAAGCGAAAGAAGGAGUAAUAGGGAACAUUACAACGUUUUUCCUUUUAAUUGCAUUAAUCAGAGCAGUUCCAUACGCACUGAAACAGUUUUGAUGACUGGAAAAUCAUGAGGAAACUGUGUUUAAAAACAUGUGUCCUGUCGAACAAUCCACGCCUUUUGUGGUGUGGAAACUUUUGUAAAAUUUUUGUAGGUAUUGUUAAGCAGCCAGUCAGUCAAUGAACAUAGCAAAAACUGAUGUCGAUAGAGGAAAUCAUUUUAACAGUUAUAAGCAGAAAAAAAAAUUAUCUCCAAGUUCCUUAAAUUUGUUUUAUUAAGGAACAGCGAAAAAAACAUUAUUUUGCAUUGUGUUUGUUUAAUGAACAUGUAAAACAUUAAGAGUAUAUUUUGCUACUAAACUGCUGGACAGAAACUUGUUAUUCAAGUUACUAGCAUUACAGUUGGUCAGUCAUACAUGGAAAACUUCAUAAAUAAUAGAAUGAAUGUUGCUUGUGUAUUACCCAAAUGUUUGAAUAUAUGAGCCAUCUGGAGUUCUUAGUUUACACUGUGAUGCACACAUUAACUUCAGUCUCUUGUGGAACUGAAUAUAUUAUUUGCUUGUGAUGUACAAACCACUCCAGCCACCUCCUCCUCUUCCCAAAAAAAAGGUUCUCUCUUUGUAUUCUAGUUUUGUACAGACUGGAAUGGCAGUAGUAACUCCACUGACAGAGGUGGCACAGUGAUUAGCUUACUAGACUCUCAUUCGGGAGGAUGACCAUUCAAACCCGCGUCUGGCCAUCCUGAUUUCAGUAAACCAUUUCGGCCAGAUACCAGGAUAGUUCCUUUGAAAGAGCAUGGCUGACUUUGUUCCCUAAUCCUAUGGGACCGAUGAUCUUGCUGUUUGGUCACCUCCCCCAAAUCAGCCAGUAAUUAAAUCAAUCAAUCAACCAACCAAGUAUCUGUAUUUUUGGCUUUGUAUUGUUUUGUAAAUCAGUUGAUGUGCUGUGCUAUACAUAAGUAUAAAAGAUUUAUUUAGCAUGUGGCUACAAGUAUAUGAGAUCAUACACAGUAUAAAAGCAAGUGUGCACUACCAGUGCUUAACUCACUUCACUCACACCAUGUAACUGUUCUUCCUUUGAUAGUCUCACUUCAGUAACUUGUUUCCAUGCACACAAAAAUGAUUUUAUAUUGUCAGCUACUUUACUACGUAUUCCCUCACAGUUAAGUUGAUGGUUGUGACACAUGAAAUAUCCUUGAAAAGUCAACAAACUAGUCUAAAUUAGUGGAAUCUUACCUGUAAGGUCUGAAGUUGCAACCGCGUCAUAGUAGGUACUGACUUAAGCCAUCCACCAGUGCUCUGCUCUUCCUGGUAGUAGAAAAUUAUUGUAAAGCCUCAUGUCUCCUACAAAAAUUACUUAAAAAUUCUGAAAUUAAUGUGUGGUGUAAGAUCCUUUGUCUAUCAGUAACUCAAUUAUUUGUUUUUGAUUUCAAAUUGUCCAAGAGUUUUUUCUUAAAAUAGAUGAAAUUUUUGUGCCCAGAAAAGUUCCUUGCUCGAAAACUGGCAGGCACUAAGCUUUUCACAGUGGAAGUGGCAAGACAGUGGGAUCUGACAAUAUUGGCCUCCUAUCAAUGUAUUGGUAAUGGGAACAAUCCAGUCCACUUGCUAUCAGAUGCUGACUAUACUACCUGACAAAAAAGUAAAGCAACCAGAAGACAUUGUUAAUGUUAUUGUAACUUUGUACACAUACUUGCUGUUGCAGGUAUUUAAAUGAUUGGAGUUACAUUCCUUUGUGUCAGGUGGAAUGGCCGUUAGUGUUGUUACGAAGCCUGGUAGGAUGUAUAAGGGGCAGAGACAGCAUCAGAUGUUGACGAUUACUCUGAAUGACACAGAAAUGCUGCACACUCGCCUGAGGCAGUGUUGUGAGCACUUAGCAGUUUGAAAGGAUCCCAUUGGGGAUCUCAGUUUGGCCGGCUGAUCAAAUUGAGCAAUAUCUAUAUUUGUUAGGCGUUCUGAUGUCACAAGGACCCAGUGUGGGACUGCAUGGGAAAGUGAGGGCAGGCAUACCUGUCAAGGUCAUGCUUGACCAGAUCUGACCACCAUCACAAGGGACAACUGCUGUAUUCUGCACUGAGCACAUAGCAGUCUAUUCACAGCUGUGACUGUAAUUCAAGAACAAGUAAUGGGCACUCUGCAACAUUGUGUUAUCCCACACCAUUGGUUGGUGAUGAGCAGUAUCUGGAUUAGGAAAUUACUGUCGCAAGCAUAGGCUGCUGUUAAUGCUAUGACACAAGGAGCUGAGUGACCAGGAAACGUGGACUUCUGAUGAAUUGUAUCACCUUAAGUUCAGCGAUGACUUACAGUUCUGCACUAGCGCGGGGGUCCAUUAAUGGCAACAUGUGGGUAGGUUGUGUUCUUCCAAUAUUUUGGAGAGGCACAGUCUUGUUACUUCUAGUGUCAUUGUGUGGGGAGCCACUGAGUGUGACUUAAUAAAGUUAUGGCUUGUAGUGAUUAAGGGAAUUUUGACAGCACAAUGGUAUGUCGUGGACAUCCUGCAUCCCCUCAUAGAACAGUAUAGUGGGGCUAGUUUUCAACAGGGCAGUGCUUGACAACACAGUUUGUGUGUGUGUGUGUGUGUGUGUGUGUGUGUGUGAGAGAGUGAGAUAUUGAGGUUCUUUACAUAGCCAGUAAGAAGAAUGAGAGAAACCAGCUUCAGCGUCAGCUCCAUCCUGGUGCCAGUGUCCAGGAGAUCAAGGACUAGUUACAACAGUUGUGGGCCAGUGUGCCUCAGCAGUGGAUACAAUGGCUUUGACACAUUUCCCCACCAAAUUGGUGCUUACACCCAGACCACAAGGAGUUCCAUGUCAUAGUCAUAAGAGGGAUCAUACUGCCAAAUUCUUGUAAAUGUAACUCAGUUUUGAAAUUAAAAAAUAUCGCAUAUCCUUUCAAC